rnacentral:misc_RNA from 1 species
GAUGAAGAACGUAGCGAAAUGCGAUAAGUAGUGUGAAUUGCAGAAUUCAGUGAAUCAUCGAAUCUUUGAACGCACAUUGCGCCCUUUGGUAUUCCAAAGGGCAUGCCUGUUCGAGCGUCAUUUGUACCCUCAAGCUUUGCUUGAUGUUGGGCGUCUUGUCUCUAGCUUUGCUGGAGACUCGCCUUAAAGUAAUUGGCAGCCGGCCUACUGGUUUCGGAGCGCAGCACAAGUCGCACUCUCUAUCAGCAAAGGUCUAGCAUCCAUUAAGCCUUUUUUUCAACUUUUGACCUCGGAUCAGGUAGGGAUACCCGCUGAACUUAAGCAUAUCAAUAAGCGGAGGA